AGUUGGAAUGGGGUGGACGGAACCAAGAGGGAGCAGGAACAACAAUAGGGGAGGAAGUUGAACAGGUGAACAGUUUCCUUUCUUGAGCAGCCCUAUGUUCCAAGUACAUGUCAAAAGCUGCCCGCACAGACAUCCUUACCAUCCAGGCCAUUGGCUGGAACAAGCGGAAGACAGAAAAUCUUGACCGGACUUUGGCCAAACGACACAUCAAGACUGUGCAGAGGAUUGCUGAAGCGUCUGAGGAGCUCAAGAAAUUGGCUGGAGAGUUGUCUAUUCAGGAAGACACUGUUCAGCAAUGGG